GGUCGCCAAUUUUUAAGAAAAUGUCUUGGUUUAUUAUCUUUUGGCAGACAUGUUAUAAUCCCUUGUUUUUGAGUAACUGAUAAUUCCCCAAUAAUAUAUACAUAGUUUAAUGCAUAACCGAUCUUGGCACUUUCUUGUAAAAUACACCCAGAACAGCCGUAAUAAAACCUAAGAGACCACAUGUCUAUUUAGAGGGUUGAUAUGGAUUUUUUUAGUGAUAUCUGAUAUUUUAUAGAAAGAAGAUAUUAACCCCCAUAUUAUCAAUUUUUGUUUUUAUGUGUGUUAAGC
rnacentral:lncRNA from 1 species